CGACAUUUAUUCAUUCUUUUAGGAAUAUUGAAACAACAUUAUUAAUUGUGGUAAACCUUAUCUGGCAGUACUUAAGAGUGCAUCUUUGACUUUAUUACUCGAGUGAAUGCACCUUCAAACCGGUUUAACACCAACAUGUCACAGUAAUCAAUACCAUCUGUGUUAAGAUGUCGGGAAUGUGUUAGACGAAUGAUUUUGUUUUAUGGAGCUUUGAAGAGCGAUGAAUGGCACUAAAGUGGUGCCAAAUGGAUAUCUCAAACACCCAUUGUUGAUGUGUGAUGCUGAUAAUACAGAGACAGCUAGAGUGACAGAGUUUGAUGAAUAAACUUAAAUUAAAAAACAGAAAUAACCACCAUCUCUCUCAGAGGUCAUCUUUCUCAUUAUUGUGGGAAACCUCAAAGGGCAUCAGGAAAACCUUCAUCAACCUCUUUGUGCCCAGUGGCUUGUGCAACAGUGUUUCAGAAAUUAUCAUUAAAAUGGGGAUAAUGGAUGACUGGCCACACAUAUGGGGCUAUGGACAAGCUUCAGAGCAGGCUGCCAGGUGGUGGUGUUAGUAGUUUAUACUCCGGGUCCCGGCGUGAGCACAUUGAAGGGUCCCAGAGUGACAGUUCAACCACCCACACCUAUCCUGGGCAGAACCAGUACUAGGUGCCUUCACCUCUGCAAGGAACUGACAGCUUCUGUACAUGCCAGGUGCAGUGGUACAGUGCGAAUGGUCGUAGAAAGGAUUUCAUAACCAAUCACAACAGAGGUCACCUGG